CCUACGGGAGGCAGCAGUGGGGAAUAUUGGACAAUGGGGGAAACCCUGAUCCAGCGACGCCGCGUGAGUGAAGAAGUAUUUCGGUACGUAAAGCUCUAUCAGCAGGAAAGAAAAUGACGGUACCUGACUAAGAAGCCCCGGCUAACUACGUGCCAGCAGCCGCGGUAAUACGUAGGGGGCAAGCGUUAUCCGGAUUUACUGGGUGUAAGGGGAGCGUAGACGGCAGCGCAAGUCUGGAGUGAAAUGCCGGGGCCGAACCCCGGAACUGCGUUGGAAACUGUGAAGCUGGAGUGCAGGAGAGGUAAGCGGAAUUCCUGGUGUAGCGGUGAAAUGCGUAGAUAUCAGGAGGAACACAGGCGGCGAAGGCGGCCUACUGGACUGUAACUGACGUUGAGGCGCGAAGGCGUGGGGAGCAAACAGGAUUAGAUACCCGUGUAGUC
rnacentral:rRNA from 1 species